UACGUAGGGUGCGAGCGUUGUCCGGAUUUAUUGGGCGUAAAGAGCUCGUAGGCGGCCUGUCGCGUCGGAUGUGAAAGCCCGGGGCUCAACCCCGGGUCUGCAUUCGAUACGGGCAGGCUGGAGUGUGGUAGGGGAGAUCGGAAUUCCUGGUGUAGCGGUGAAAUGCGCAGAUAUCAGGAGGAACACCGGUGGCGAAGGCGGAUCUCUGGGCCAUUACUGACGCUGAGGAGCGAAAGCGUGGGGAGCGAACAGG
rnacentral:rRNA from 1 species